GAUGAACGCUGGCGGCGUGCCUAAUACAUGCAAGUCGAGCGAACGGACGAGAAGCUUGCUUCUCUGAUGUUAGCGGCGGACGGGUGAGUAACACGUGGAUAAUCUACCUAUAAGACUGGGAUAACUUCGGGAAACCGGAGCUAAUACCGGAUGAUAUUUUGAACCGCAUGGUUCAAAAGUGAAAGACGGUCUUGCUGUCCCUUAUACAUGGAUCCGCGCUGCAUUAGCUAAUUGGUAAUGUAAAGGCUUACCAAGGUAACGAUGCAUAGCCGACCUGAGGGGGUGAUCCGCCACACUGGAACUGAGACUCGGUCCAGACUCCUACAGGAGGCAGCAGUAGGGAAUCUUCCGCAAUGGACGAAAGCCUGACGGAGCAGCGCCGCGUGAGUGAUGAAGGUCUUCGGAUCGUAAAACUCUGUUAUUAGGGAAGAACAUAUGUGUAAGGAACUGUGCACAUCUUGACGGUACCUAAUCAGAAAGCCACGGCUAACUACGUG
rnacentral:rRNA from 1 species